rnacentral:rRNA from 1 species
CCGGCGCACGGGUGAGUAACGCGUAUCCAACCUGCCCAUCACUUGGGAUAACCCUUGCGAAAGUAAGACUAAUACCCAAUGACAUUUAUAGAAGGCAUCUGAAAGGGAUUAAAGAUUUAUCGGUGAUGGAUGGGGAUGCGUCUGAUUAGCUUGUUGGCGGGGUAACGGCCCACCAAGGCGACGAUCAGUAGGGGUUCUGAGAGGAAGGUCCCCCACAUUGGAACUGAGACACGGUCCAAACUCCUACGGGAGGCAGCAGUGAGGAAUAUUGGUCAAUGGGCGAGAGCCUGAACCAGCCAAGUAGCGUGCAGGAUGACGGCCCUAUGGGUUGUAAACUGCUUUUAUAGGGGAAUAAAGUGAUCCACGUGUGGUUUUUUGCAUGUACCUUAUGAAUAAGGACCGGCUAAUUCCGUGCCAGCAGCCGCGGUAAUACGGAAGGUCCGGGCGUUAUCCGGAUUUAUUGGGUUUAAAGGGAGCGUAGGCCGGAGAUUAAGCGUGUUGUGAAAUGUAGAUGCUCAACAUCUGAACUGCAGCGCGAACUGGUUUCCUUGAGUACGCAUAAAGUGGGCGGAAUUCGUGGUGUAGCGGUGAAAUGCUUAGAUAUCACGAAGAACUCCGAUUGCGAAGGCAGCUCACUGGGGCGCAACUGACGCUGAAGCUCGAAAGCGCGGGUAUCGAACAGGAUUAGAUACCCUGGUAGUCCGCGCGGUAAACGAUGGA